GUUUAUACUUAAAGAUAUAAACACUUGCUUCAAACUGGAAUGAUUUAGAGAAGAUUAGCAUGGCUCCAACACAAGAAUGACAUAUUAUGUUACCACUAUUACAUGUGCAU
ensembl:snRNA U6 U6 spliceosomal RNA